AUUAAUAGAUCAGAGAGAAAUACAAAGCUAUCUUAAUCCUGCAUAAAAGAGUUUAGAGAAGACUCAAAUAAUAUUCAUAGAUAAUCUGGUCAUAAAUCCACAAUUCAUCGGAUCUCAACAAAUGCACCGCAAAAGAAGAUUACAUUGAAUAGAACUCCAAUAACAUCGAGGAGAACAUUGUAUCGAAGAUCAAAGAGAGAAGAAGCCAUCUAGCUACUAACUACGGACCCGUAGGUCUAUGGUAAACUACUCACACAUCAUCGGAAGGGCAGCAAGGUUGACGUAGAAGCCCUCCGUGAUCGAAUCCCCCUCCGGCGAAGUGCCAGAAAAGGACCCAGAUGGGAUAUCACGAGAAUAGAAGCUUGCGGCGGCGGAAAAGUAUUUGUGGUGUGUCCUCUGACGUAAGGGGAAUAUUUGAGUAUUUAUGGAGCAAGGAUUAGGGUUAGGAGGUCUAUGAGGGGCCCACAAGCCUGGGGGCGCCCCCCGGGGCACGCCCCUAGGGCUUGUGGCCGCCUUGUAGGUCUUCUGGCCUUCUCCCGAAGCUUCCUAGAUUUUUUCUGGUCCAAGAAAAAUCAUCGUAAAGUUUUAUUACUUUUGGACUCCGUUUGGUAUUGAUUUUCUGUAAAAGACAAAAACAAAGAAAGAACAGCAACUGGCACUGGGCACUAAGUUAAUAGGUUAGUCCAAAAAAGAAUAUAAACUAGCAUAUUAAUGACUAUAAAACAUCCAAGAUGAAUAAUAUAAUAGCAUGAAACAAUAAAAAAUUAUAGAUAUGUUAGAGACGUAUCACGCAGCAGCCUUGACCUCAAAGCGGCGGCAGGUUGGGCGGGCCACCACUGCUCCGAGGUGUCCGCCACUCACUGGAGGGAGCCUCUGUCAUGUGGCAAUGGAGAUCCCCAUGGCAGCAGCGGCAACCUCCGUAUGGCGGCGAUGGCGAUUCAUCUCCUCUCGCAGCCACGCCCGUGCCCUGAUGGCGCGCGCCAGUGGCCUGGCAUUAAUGAAGGCGGAUGAAGGCGUCCGAGUGACGAAUGGCAACAUAGCAAGCAUGAAUGUCGAGCGCCGAAUGACGAUGUGCUGGGAGCAAGUGACGGGAAG
rnacentral:lncRNA from 1 species